GACAGAGGCCCCGAGCGUUAGGCGGAAUCACUGGGCUUAAAGCGUGUGUAGGCGGACUUCUAAGUGCCUUGUGAAAUCCCACGGCUCAACCGUGGAAACUGCUGGGCAUACUGGGAGUCUUGGGGCCAUUCAGGGGCAACUGGAACAAGCCGGUGGAGCGGUGAAAAUGCGUAGAUAUCGCUUGGACGCCGAAGGUGAAAACGGUGCUGGGGAUGUGCC
rnacentral:rRNA from 1 species